rnacentral:rRNA from 1 species
CGACGUGGACAACCUGCCGUAUGCAGGGGGAUACCAGCUGGAAACAGCUGCUAAUACCGCAUAUGCGCACAGGGCCGCAUGGCCUGGUGCGGAAAGGAGCAAUCCGGCAUACGAUGGGUCCGCGUCCGAUUAGCUAGUUGGCGGGGCAGCGGCCCACCAAGGCGACGAUCGGUAGCCGGCCUGAGAGGGCGGACGGCCACAUUGGGACUGAGACACGGCCCAGACUCCUACGGAAGGCAGCAG